CGGGACUCUCACGAGGCCUCGUAAUCGGAAUGAGUACACUUUAAAUAUUUUAACGAGGAACAAUUGGAGGGCAAGUCUGGUGCCAGCAGCCGCGGUAAUUCCAGCUCCAAUAGCGUAUACUAAAUUUGUUGCGGUUAAAAAGCUCGUAGUUGCAUUUGUGCGCCGCGCUGUCGGUGCACCGCAUCCGCGGUGAUACUGACACGUCUGCGGAGCAUAUCGUCGGUGAGCCGCCGGUCAAACGGCGGUUCAAUAUCAAAAUCCUAUCGCGGUGCUCUUCAGUGAGUGUCGAGGUGGGCCGACAAUUUUACUUUGAACAAAUUAGAGUGCUCAAAGCGGGCUCAAAACGCUGCUUGAAUAUUUCGUGCAUGGAAUAAUAGAAUAUGAUCUCGGUUCUAUUUUGUUGGUUUUCAGAACUCCGAGGUAAUGAUUAAUAGGGAUAACUGGGGGCAUUCGUAUUGCGACGUUAGAGGUGAAAUUCUUGGAUCGUCGCAAGACGAACAUCAGCGAAAGCAUUUGCCAAAGGUGUUUUCAUCAAUCAAGAACGAAAGUUAGAGGUUCGAAGGCGAUUAGAUACCGCCCUAGUUCUAACCGUAAAUAUGUCAUCUAGCGAUCCGCCGACGUUAAUCAAAUGGCUCGGCGGGCAGCUUCCGGGAAACCAAAGAUUUUGGACUCCGGGGGGAGUAUGGUUGCAAAGCUGAAACUUAAAGGAA
rnacentral:rRNA from 1 species